GAUGAACGCUAGCGAUAGGCUUAACACAUGCAAGUCGAGCGCGACUGAUUUGAUGCUUGCAUCAUUGAAAGUUGAGCGGCGGACGGGUGAGUAACGCGUGGGUAACCUGCCCUAUACACAUGGAUAACAUACUGAAAAGUUUACUAAUACAUGAUAAUGUAUAUUUACGGCAUCGUAGGUAUACCAAAGUGUUAGCGGUAUAGGAUGGACCCGCGUCUGAUUAGCUAGUUGGUGAGAUAACUGCCUACCAAGACGAUGAUACGUAGCCGACCUGAGAGGGUGAUCGGCCACAUUGGGACUGAGACACGGCCCAA
rnacentral:rRNA from 1 species